rnacentral:rRNA from 1 species
CAGCAGCCGCGGGAAUACGGAGGGUGCAAGCGUUAAUCGGAAUUACUGGGCGUAAAGCGUGCGUAGGCGGUUCGCUAAGUCUGUUGUGAAAGCCCCGGGCUCAACCUGGGAAUGGCAAUGGAUACUGGCGAGCUAGAGUGUGUCAGAGGAUGGUGGAAUUCCCGGUGUAGCGGUGAAAUGCGUAGAGAUCGGGAGGAACAUCAGUGGCGAAGGCGGCCAUCUGGGACAACACUGACGCUGAGGCACGAAAGCGUGGGGAGCAAACAGGAUUAGAUACCCCUGUAGUCCCUGUCUCUUAUAC